GCUGGCUGCUAGCUCUCUGCAACUUUAACAUGGUCACCCAUUAAAGCUUAGCAGGGCUGUGCCCAGUCUGUACCUGGAUGGGAGACCACAUGGAAAAGCUAGGUUGCUGCCAGAA
ensembl:rRNA 5S_rRNA 5S ribosomal RNA